ensembl:lncRNA
AUGCUCGUAGAUCUCCGGUUGGCGGGUCAGUCCUCAACCUCAUUGUUCAACAUAUUCAAAAGUGAAUGUUACCGAUCGCUAUCUGUGCUGUUUGUAUCCUUUGAGCUGCCUCCUUCUGGAUUGACACAAACGCUGCUUGAUCGGAACCGGGCUGGUUCAACUGGAGAUUGUCUUCAGCCGCAGAGCUUUCAUUUACUAGCUGCUGUUUUGCCUGGACUGCUGUUUGUCUAACGUGCAUGUUUUGAACAUUGUAUCAGCAACUUUACUCGAUCUCUGCACGCCCGUUUUGCCUUCACGGCCACUGGAUAACCACGACCAUACGGUCAAAUGUGUGAGCCUCCUGUUUUGUGUGGGCCAGUAAUUCAAACAGUUUGAAUGUAAGUUAGCAGAAGGGGUUGGCUCUUUACAGUUAUAAUUUGGUUGAUUAAGUUGUUUCUUUUUCCUUUUCGUUAUUUAGUUUUCAAUUUGGCUAAAAGUUGCAUUUACGGAUCGUUUGUUUGUUUGUUUGUUUUUUCAGUGACUUUAGUUUAUUUAAUCAGGUUUUCUUUUGUUAAUUUAGUUAAAAAGAUGUAUUUAUAUUUUGUUUAAUUCUUUCUUAUUACUGAACUAAUUAUCUUUGGUCAAGGUCUCGCUGUACUUUAAUCAUAUUUAGUAUUUUGUUUUUCUUGGUUUAUUGACAAGUGUGUCUUAGAAUUGAUACAUAUAUAUUUGUCCUCUUCAUUUAAAUAUUAUAUUGCUUUUCUUUUUGUUGAGUGAAUCCGCAUUGAGUGUGUGUGUGUGUGUGUGUGUGUGUGUGUGUGUGUGUGUGUGUCUUUGUGUCCCUGUUUUAGUUGCUGAGAGCCGAAGGUGGUGGUGUUGGUGUCCGGGUGGUGGUGUCCCCUUCCUGCGUGCCGUAUUGUCUACCCCGUUUUUUUUGCUGUGUUCACUGUUGUGUUUUCAGUGUUUGUGUGUGUUCACGCGGGUGACUUUUCCUGGGAUUCCUCCUUGCCUUUGUGACCCCCUUCUCCUCCACUGGUAAGCCUCAGCAGCAAUUACAAUUUGUCCCUCUGUUCCCCUCCCUAAAGUAUGAAUGUGUUCUAAAUUGUUUUAAAAUUAUUGCAAUAAAGUUUGUUGUUCCUUUUAAAAAUUGAACCUC